GGGUGAGUAACACGUAUCCAACCUGCCUCAUACUCGGGGAUAGCCUUUCGAAAGAAAGAUUAAUAUCCGAUAGCAUAUAUUUCCCGCAUGGGUUUUAUAUUAAAGAAAUUCGGUAUGAGAUGGGGAUGCGUUCCAUUAGUUUGUUGGGGGGGUAACGGCCCACCAAGACUACGAUGGAUAGGGGUUCUGAGAGGAAGGUCCCCCACAUUGGAACUGAGACACGGUCCAAACUCCUACGGGAGGCAGCAGUGAGGAAUAUUGGUCAAUGGACGCGAGUCUGAACCAGCCAAGUAGCGUGAAGGAUGACUGCCCUAUGGGUUGUAAACUUCUUUUAUAUGGGAAUAAAGUUGUCCACGUGUGGAUUUUUGUAUGUACCAUAUGAAUAAGGAUCGGCUAACUCCGUGCCAGCAGCCGCGGUAAUACGGAGGAUCCGAGCGUUAUCCGGAUUUAUUGGGUUUAAAGGGAGCGUAGGCGGAUUGUUAAGUCAGUUGUGAAAGUUUGCGGCUCAACCGUAAAAUUGCAGUUGAUACUGGCAGUCUUGAGUGCAGUAGAGGUGGGCGGAAUUCGUGGUGUAGCGGUGAAAUGCUUAGAUAUCACGAAGACUCCGAUUGCGAAGGCAGCUCACUGGAGUGUAACUGAC
rnacentral:rRNA from 1 species